rnacentral:lncRNA from 1 species
UAAAAUAGACUAAAGAAUUAAUCUAAGACCUGAAAUCAUUAAAAUUCUGAAUGAAAACCUAGGAAAACCUCUUCUGGACAUUGGCCCUGGCAAAUAAUUUAUGAGUGAGACCCCAAAAGCAAAUGCAACAAAAAACAAAAAAUAAAUGGAACUUGGUUCAUUAUCGUCUUUACUGUGUUGAUUAUGUUUAUGUAAAAAGAAAAGCCACAACAAAACUUCAUUGGGCAUUUACCAACAAAAGGGGA